rnacentral:tRNA from 1 species
UAGGCUAAAGCAUAAUUUAUGCAACUCAUUUACACUGAGAAGAAUAACUUUUAAUAGUUUAGCCUAA